GGAUGAGAAACCCAUAUCUUGGCAGCUCAGCUACAUUAACACAGAAGGAAGCGAGUUCCAAAGAAAAUUCAGGGACGGAAGAGAAAAAAGAGGAUGUAAACUGGCCAAGCAAGCUAGUCCUAUGUCUGGCACCAGUGAAGGAUUAAGUGACGUUUUAAGCAAUCUCAUAUACCACUCCCAAGGGACAGUUAAAGUCCAGUCGGGAUGUAUCUGUACUUUUAUGCCAUUUCGAGCUGUGGAAAGUUUGUCAGGUGGACCCAGACUGAAUGCAUGAUUUUUCAUCCCCAUCAUGUGAAAUUCACAGGGUUGUUUUUUUGCUGCUGUGUGUUUUGUUUUUUAAAGACAGGCAUAGCUCUGAGAGUGUGGCAGUGUUUCGCUUUGAAUGUGUUCCAACGCUGCCAUUUGAGUCGUGUGUGGUUUGUAUAUGAGGCCCAACUACAUAAACCCAUGGGAAUUCUACAA